UAGUGGCAGACGGGUGAGUAAUGCAUAGGAAUCUACCUAGUAGUAUAGGAUAGCCACUAGAAAUGGUGGGUAAUACUGUAUAAUCCCUGCGGGGGAAAGAUUUAUCGCUACUAGAUGAGCCUAUGUCAGAUUAGCUAGUUGGUGGGGUAAUGGCCCACCAAGGCUGUGAUCUGUAGCUGGUCUGAGAGGAUGAUCAGCCACACUGGAACUGAGACACGGUCCAGACUCCUACGGGAGGCAGCAGUGGGGAAUAUUGGACAAUGGGCGCAAGCCUGAUCCAGCUAUGCCGCGUGAGUGAGGAAGGCCUUAGGGUUGUAAAACUCUUUCAGUAGGGAAGAUAAUGACGGUACCUA
rnacentral:rRNA from 1 species